GACGAACGCUGGCGGCGUGCUUAACACAUGCCAGUCGAACGGAAAGGCCCUGCUUUUGUGGGGUGCUCGAGUGGCGAACGGGUGAGUAACACGUGAGUAACCUGCCCUUGACUUUGGGAUAACUUCAGGAAACUGGGGCUAAUACCGGAUAGGAGCUCCUGCUGCAUGGUGGGGGUUGGAAAGUUUCGGCGGUUGGGGAUGGACUCGCGGCUUAUCAGCUUGUUGGUGGGGUAGUGGCUUACCAAGGCUUUGACGGGUAGCCGGCCUGAGAGGGUGACCGGCCACAUUGGGACUGAGAUACGGCCCAGACUCCUACGGGAGGCAGCAGUGGGGAAUAUUGCACAAUGGGCGGAAGCCUGAUGCAGCAACGCCGCGUGCGGGAUGACGACCUUCGGGUUGUAAACCGCUUUCGCCUGUGACGAAGCGUGAGUGACGGUAAUGGGUAAAGAAGCACCGGCUAACUACGUG
rnacentral:rRNA from 1 species